GACGAACGCUGGCGGCGUGCUUAACACAUGCAAGUCGAACGGAAAGGCCUCUUUCGGGGGGUACUCGAGUGGCGAACGGGUGAGUAACACGUGAGUAACCUGCCCUUGACUUUGGGAUAACUUCAGGAAACUGGGGCUAAUACCGGAUAGGAGCUCCUGCUGCAUGGUGGGGGUUGGAAAGUUUCGGCGGUUGGGGAUGGACUCGCGGCUUAUCAGCUUGUUGGUGGGGUAGUGGCUUACCAAGGCUUUGACGGGUAGCCGGCCUGAGAGGGCGACCGGCCACAUUGGGACUGAGAUACGGCCCAGACUCCUACGGGAGGCAGCAGUGGGGAAUAUUGCACAAUGGGUGGAAGCCUGAUGCAGCAACGCCGUGUGCGGGAUGACGGCCUUCGGGUUGUAAACCGCUUUCGCUCAUGACGAAGCUUUGUGUGACGGUAGUGAGUAAAGAAGCACCGGCUAACUACGUG
rnacentral:rRNA from 1 species